rnacentral:rRNA from 1 species
GACGAACGCUGGCGGCGUGCUUAACACAUGCAAGUCGAACGGAAAGGCCCUGCUUUUGUGGGGUGCUCGAGUGGCGAACGGGUGAGUAACACUUGAGUAACCUGCCCUUGACUUUGGGAUAACUUCAGGAAACUGGGGCUAAUACCGGAUAGGAGCUCCUGCUGCAUGGUGGGGGUUGGAAAGUUUCGGCGGUUGGGGAUGGACUCGCGGCUUAUCAGCUUGUUGGUGGGGUAGUGACUUACCAAGGCUUUGACGGGUAGCCGGCCUGAGAGGGUGACCGGCCACAUAGGGACUGAGAGACAGCCCAGACUCAGACGGGAGGUAGCAGUGGGGAAUAAUGAACGAAGGGCGGAAGCAGGAUGCAGCAACGAAGCGUGCGGGAUGACGGCCUUCGGGUUGUAAACCGCUUUCGCCUGUGACGAAGCGUGAGUGACGGUAAUGGGUAAAGAAGCACCGGCUAACUACGU